UGUACCACUGAUAUAUAUAUACACUGGAUUGGAUUUAAGCGUGGUGCCGUCACGCCAAUUGAACGUAACAAUUAUUGAGGUAACAAUGAGUACCUGCGUUUUUUGCAAAACAAAGCAAUCAAAAUAUUGUGGGCGAUCAUUUCACAAAUUUCCCGUGAAAGAUGUGUUCCGCCUU